rnacentral:tRNA from 1 species
GGAGGGUAUAGCUCAGUGGUAAAGUGCAUGCUUAGCAUGCAUGAGGUCCUGGGUUCAAUCCCCAGUGCCUCCA